rnacentral:rRNA from 1 species
CGGUAGGCUUAACACAUGCAAGUCGAGCGGUAACAGACAUUUUGAUUUUGCUUGCAAAAUCUCGUGCUGACGAGCGGCGAACGGGUGAGUAACGCGUAGGAAUCUACCUAGUAGAAGGGGAUAGCCCGAGGAAACUCGGAUUAAUACCGUAUACGUCCUUAGGGAGAAAGAGGGCUUAGCUUUGAUGCUCUCGCUAUUAGAUGAGCCUGCGUAAGAUUAGCUUGUUGGUGAGGUAAAGGCUCACCAAGGCGACGAUCUUUAGCUGGUCUGAGAGGACGAUCAGCCACAUUGGGACUGAGACACGGCCCAGACUCCUACGGGAGGCAGCAGUGGGGAAUAUUGGACAAUGGGCGCAAGCCUGAUCCAGCCAUACCGCGUGUGUGAAGAAGGCCUUCGGGUUGUAAAGCACUUUAAGUAAGGAAGAAAAGAGUAUUGUUAAUACCAAUACUCCGUGACAUUACUUACAGAAUAAGGACCGGCUAAUUCC